rnacentral:rRNA from 1 species
GCUCAACACAGCGCAGCGAUUCGUAACGGUUCGAGAGAGAUACGGCUCAUUGACUAGACCGCUAGAUCUUACGGAGGCAGCAGUGGGAAUCUCCGCAAUGGCGAAAGGCUGACGAGCACGCGCGUGAGUGAUGAGUCUCGAACGUAAACUCUGUUGUCACGACGACGGGGGACAGAAAUGGGUUUCCAGUGACGUAGUGACGAGAGCCACGCUACUACGUGCCAGCAGCGCGUAAUACGUAGUGGCAAGCGUGUCGGAAUUAUUGGGCGUAAAGCGCAUGUAGGCGGUUCUUAAGUCGGUCGUGAAAAUGCGGUGCUUAACGCCGUAUGGCGAUCGAAACUGGGGGACUUGAGUGCAGGAGAGGAAAGGGGAACUCCCAGUGUAGCGGUGAAAUGCGUAGAUAUUGGGAAGAACACCGGUGGCGAAGGCGCCUUUCUGGACUGUGUCUGACGCUGAGAUGCGAAAGCCAGGGUAGCGAACGGGAUUAGAUACCCCGGUAGUCCUGGCCGUAAACGAUGGGUACUAGGUGUGGGAGGUAUCGACCCCUUCCGUGCCGGAGUUAACGCAAUAAGUACCCCGCCUGGGGAGUACGGCCGCAAGGCUUAAACUCAAAGGAAUUGACGGGGGCCCGCACAAGCGGUGGAGUAUGUGGUUUAAUUCGACGCAACGCGAAGAACCUUACCAAGGCUUGACAUUGAGUGAAAGACCUGGAGACAGGUCCCCCUCUUCGGAGGCACGAAAACAGGUGGUGCAUGGCUGUCGUCAGCUCGUGUCGUGAGAUGUUGGGUUAAGUCCCGCAACGAGCGCAACCCCUAUCCUAUGUUACCAGCAUUAAGUUGGGGACUCAUAGGAGACUGCCAGGGAGAACCUGGAGGAAGGCGGGGAUGACGUCAAGUCAUCAUGCCCCUUAUGUCUUGGGCUACACACGUACUACAAUGGUCGGCAACAGAGAGCAGCGAACCCGCGAGGGGGAGCGAACCUCAAAAACCCGAUCCCAGUUCGGAUCGCAGGCUGCAACCCGCCUGCGUGAAGUCGGAAUCGCUAGUAAUCGCAGGUCAGCAUACUGCGGUGAAUACGUUCCCGGGCCUUGUACACACCGCCCGUCACACCACGAAAGUUGGUAACACCCAAAGCCGGUGGGAUAACCGCAAGGAGUCAGCCGUCUAAGGUGGGGCCGAUGAUUGGGGUGAAGUCGUAACAAGGUAAAUCACUGCCGUCGAAACCCCA